UAUGCAUUCUACUGUAAGUUGCUCUGGAUAAGAGCGUCUGCUAAAUGACUAAAA
rfam:Salmo salar isolate Sally breed double haploid chromosome ssa22, whole genome shotgun sequence.